CCUACGGGUGGCAGCAGUGGGGAAUAUUGCACAAUGGGGGAAACCCUGAUGCAGCGAAGCCGCGUGAAGGAAGAAGUAUUUAGGUAUGUAAACUUCUAUCAGCAGGGGAGUAAAUGACGGUACCUGACUCAGAUCCCACGGCUAACGACGUGCAAGCAGCCGCGGUAAUACGUAGGGUGCAAGCGUUAUCCGGAUUUACUGGGUGUAAAGGGAGCGUAGGCGGUUUAGCAAGUCAGAAGGGAAAGCCCGGGGCUCAACGACGGGACUGCUGUUGAAACUGUUGAACUAGAGUGUAGGAGAGGUAAGUGGAAUUCGUGGUGUAGCGGUGAAAUGCGUAGAUAUUAGGAGGAACACCAGUGGCGAAGGCGGCCUGCUGGACUGUAAAUGACGCUGAGGCUCGAAAGCGUGGGGAGCAAACAGGAUUAGAUACCCCGGUAGUC
rnacentral:rRNA from 1 species